rnacentral:misc_RNA from 3 species
AACGCACCUUGCGCCCCUUGGCAUUCCGAGGGGCACGCCUGUUUGAGUGUCGUGAACUCCUCCACCCUCCACCUUUUUCGGAAGGCGUUGGGCUGGGAUUUGGGAGCUUGCGGGUCCCUGGCCGAUCCGCUCUCCUUGAAUACAUUAGCGAAGCCCUUGCGGCCUUGGUGUGAUAGUCAUCUACGCCUCGGUUUAGCGAACAUACGGGAAUCGCUUCCAACCGUCUCGCAAGAGACAAUCACUUCAAACUUGACCUCAAAUCAGGCGGGACUACCCGCUGAACUUAA